GUAACCUGUCAGUGUUAGCUAGGGUUUACUAGUAGAAGGUAUCAUCUUCAUUCUUCAGACGAAAUAAACAAGUGAACAUCUAAUUUCUUUUAAGAGGAUUAAGUUGAUUUCUUUGAUUCAACUAUGGAGGAAUCAGGAUCAACACCAGCUUCCGUUAACUCAAAUGCAUUGUUGCCACCACUACAUCCUCCUCCAAGAUCUUCUAACGCC